GACGAACGCUGGCGGCGUGCUUAACACAUGCAAGUCGAACGGAAAGGCCCCUUUGGGGGUACUCGCGUGGCGAACGGGUGAGUAACACGUGAGUAACCUGCCCUUGACUUCGGGAUAAAUUAAGGAAACUGGGGCUAAUACCGGAUAGGAAUCAUUGCUGCAUGGUGGGGGUUGGAAAGCUUGGGCGGGUUUGGGUGGACUCGCGGCUUAUCUGCUUGUUGGUGGGGGAGGUGCUUACCAAGGCUUUGACGGGUAGCCGGCCUGGGUGGGCGACCGGCCACCUUGGGACUUGGGUUCGGCCCAGACCCCUACGGGGGGCAACAGGGGGGGAUAUUGGACAAAGGGCGGGAGCCCGAUGCAGCAACGCCGCGGGCGGGAUGACCGGCUUCGGGUUGUAAACCGCCUUCAGCAGGUGCGGAGCUGGGGGUGACGGUACCGGCAGAAGAAGCACCGGCUAACUACGUG
rnacentral:rRNA from 1 species